UACAGAGGUCUCAAGCGUUGUUCGGAUUCAUUGGGCGUAAAGGGUGCGUAGGCGGCCAACUAAGUCAGACGUGAAAUCCCUCGGCUUAACCGGGGAACUGCGUCUGAUACUGGAUGGCUUGAGUUUGGGAGAGGGAUGCGGAAUUCCUGGUGCAGCGGUGAAAUGCGUAGAUAUCAGGAGGAACACCGGUGGUGUAGACGGCUUUCUGGACCGUAACUGACGCUGAGACACGAAAGCGUGGGUAGCAAACAGG
rnacentral:rRNA from 1 species